AUAGGGUCAAGCGACUAAGUGCAUCUGGUGGAUGCCUUGGCGAUCACAGGCGAUGAAGGACGUGCAAGCCUGCGAAAAGCGGCGGGGAGCUGGCAAUGAAGCUUUGAUCCGCCGAUGUCCGAAUGGGGAAACCCCUCCGCAAGGAGAUCCCUGGCUGAACACAUAGGCCAGUGGAGGCGAACCGGGAGAACUGAAACAUCUAAGUACCCCGAGGAAAAGAAAUCAACCGAGAUUCCGUAAGUAGUGGCGAGCGAACGCGGAAGAGCCUGUACGUGUUAUGCAUUGAGAUAGUGGAAGGCAUUGGAAACUGCCGCCAUAGUGGGUGAUAGCCCCGUACACGAAAUUUCAUUGCAAGAACUGGGCGUACGAGAAGUAGGGCGGGACACGCGAAAUCCUGUCUGAAGAUGGGGGGACCAUCCUCCAAGGCUAAAUACUCGUGAUCGACCGAUAGUGAACCAGUACCGUGAGGGAAAGGCGAAAAGAACCCCGGGAGGGGAGUGAAAUAGAACCUGAAACCGGAUGCAUACAAACAGUGGGAGCCUCGCAAGGGGUGACUGCGUACCUUUUGUAUAAUGGGUCAGCGACUUACGUUCAGUAGCGAGCUUAACCGAAUAGGGGAGGCGUAGGGAAACCGAGUCCGAAUAGGGCGCUUUAGUUGCUGGGCGUAGACCCGAAACCGAGUGAUCUAUCCAUGGCCAGGAUGAAGGUGCGGUAACACGCACUGGAGGUCCGAACCCACUAGUGUUGCAAAACUAGGGGAUGAGCUGUGGAUAGGGGUGAAAGGCUAAACAAACUCGGAGAUAGCUGGUUCUCCCCGAAAACUAUUUAGGUAGUGCCUCAUGUAUCACUUCCGGGGGUAAAGCACUGUUAUGGCUAGGGGGUCAUUGCGAUUUACCAAACCAUGGCAAACUCUGAAUACCGGAAAGUGCAAGCAUGGGAGACAGACGGUGGGUGCUAACGUCCAUCGUCAAGAGGGAAACAACCCAGACCGCCAGCUAAGGUCCCAAAUGAUCAGUUAAGUGGUAAACGAGGUGGGAAGGCCUAGACAGCCAGGAUGUUGGCUUAGAAGCAGCCAUCAUUUAAAGAAAGCGUAAUAGCUCACUGGUCGAGUCGUCCUGCGCGGAAGAUGUAACGGGGCUCAAACUGAUAACCGAAGCUGCGGAUGCACAGUUUACUGUGCGUGGUAGGGGAGCGUUCUGUAGGUCUGUGAAGGUGUGUCGUAAGGCAUGCUGGAGAUAUCAGAAGUGCGAAUGCUGACAUGAGUAGCGAUAAAGCGGGUGAAAAGCCCGCUCGCCGAAAGCCCAAGGUUUCCUACGCAACGUUCAUCGGCGUAGGGUGAGUCGGCCCCUAAGGCGAGGCUGAAAAGCGUAGUCGAUGGGAAACGGGUUAAAAUUCCCGUACUUUCGUAUAGUGCGAUGUGGGGACGGAGAAGGUUAGGUCAGCCAGGUGUUGGAUGUCCUGGUUUAAGCCGGUAGGCGGAGAGAUUAGGCAAAUCCGGUCUCUCUUAACGCCGAGACGUGAUGACGAGGCACUACGGUGCCGAAGUGACUGAUACCACGCUUCCAGGAAAAGCCACUAAGCUUCAGCUAUACGAGAACCGUACCGCAAACCGACACAGGUGGGCAGGAUGAGAAUUCUAAGGCGCUUGAGAGAACUCAGGAGAAGGAACUCGGCAAAUUGAUACCGUAACUUCGGGAGAAGGUAUGCCCGUUGUGGUGAAAUCCCUGCGGAUGGAGCUGCGACGGGUCGCAGAGAAUCGGUGGCUGCGACUGUUUAACAAAAACACAGCACUGUGCCAACACGAAAGUGGACGUAUACGGUGUGACGCCUGCCCGGUGCCGGAAGGUUAAGUGAUGGGGUGCAAGCUCUUGAUCGAAGCCCCGGUAAACGGCGGCCGUAACUAUAACGGUCCUAAGGUAGCGAAAUUCCUUGUCGGGUAAGUUCCGACCCGCACGAAUGGCGUAACGAUGGCCACACUGUCUCCUCCUGAGACUCAGCGAAGUUGAAAUGUUUGUGAAGAUGCAAUCUACCCGCUGCUAGACGGAAAGACCCCGUGAACCUUUACUGUAGCUUUGCAUUGGACUUUGAACAGACUUGUGUAGGAUAGGUGGGAGGCUAUGAAACCAGAACGCUAGUUCUGGUGGAGCCGUCCUUGAAAUACCACCCUGGUGUGUUUGAGGUUCUAACCUUGGUCCGUCAUCCGGAUCGGGGACAGUGCAUGGUAGGCAGUUUGACUGGGGCGGUCUCCUCCCAAAGUGUAACGGAGGAGUUCGAAGGUCACCUAGGUACGGUCGGAAAUCGUGCUGAUAGUGCAAUGGCAUAAGGUGGCUUAACUGCGAGACCGACAAGUCGAGCAGGUGCGAAAGCAGGACAUAGUGAUCCGGUGGUUCUGAAUGGAAGGGCCAUCGCUCAACGGAUAAAAGGUACUCCGGGGAUAACAGGCUGAUACCGCCCAAGAGUUCACAUCGACGGCGGUGUUUGGCACCUCGAUGUCGGCUCAUCACAUCCUGGGGCUGUAGCCGGUCCCAAGGGUAUGGCUGUUCGCCAUUUAAAGUGGUACGUGAGCUGGGUUCAAAACGUCGUGAGACAGUUUGGUCCCUAUCUGCAGUGGGCGUUGGAAGUUUGACGGGGGCUGCUCCUAGUACGAGAGGACCGGAGUGGACGAACCUCUGGUGUACCGGUUGUGACGCCAGUCGCAUCGCCGGGUAGCUAAGUUCGGAAGAGAUAACCGCUGAAAGCAUCUAAGCGGGAAACUCGCCUGAAGAUGAGACUUCCCUGGCACCUUGAGUGCCCUGAAGAGUCGUUCGAGACCAGGACGUUGAUAGGUCGGGUGUGGAAGCGCUGUGAGGCGUUAAGCUAACCGAUACUAAUUGCUCGUGAGGCUUGAUCCUAUCAUUUGAGUGGCUUUGCUCAGCAAAGCGCACGAUACA
rnacentral:rRNA from 1 species